rnacentral:rRNA from 1 species
CAGUCGCCGCGGGAAUACGGAGGGUGCAAGCGUUAAUCGGAAUUACUGGGCGUAAAGCGUGCGUAGGCGGUUCGUUAAGUCUGUUGUGAAAGCCCCGGGCUCAACCUGGGAAUGGCAAUGGAUACUGGCGAGCUAGAGUGUGUCAGAGGAUGGUGGAAUUACCGGUGUAGCGGUGAAAUGCGUAGAGAUCGGGAGGAACAUCAGUGGCGAAGGCGGCCAUCUGGGACAACACUGACGCUGAGGCACGAAAGCGUGGGGAGCAAACAGGAUUAGAUACCCGCGUAGUCCCUGUCUCUUAUAC